CUGGAUUUGCAUAUUAAAGCCUCUGUUAUUGAAACUGUAUCAUAUUUAUUGCACUUUCUUGGAUUCUGUUGCCAUAGCUACAGUUCUGUAGUCAGAAAUAGUUUUUUUUUUUCUGCUUUCAAAGUUAUGCUAAUGGCCAGAGUUUCUUAGGGAGCAUAAUCGGGGAAUUUCAGACAGUAAACACUCAUUCUCAUUCCUCAGUCUUGGCUAAAUGGCUGGAGUCGCUAUUUCAUUUCCUUUGACCAGAGUAC